AAAAGACACCAGGCAUAAACACUGGAAAGAAAGCUAAUAUUCCCUAAUUUGAUCUAUACAUUCAAAUGCUGACCCAGUCAAAAGUCCACAAGCUGACUCCAAAAUUCAUGUGGUUACGCAGAAGACCUAGAAUAGCCAAAACAACUCUACGAAGAACAAAGUUGGAGACUUAACAGUUUUCAAACCCCUCAUCCCAACUGUCAGGUACCAACUGCCAUUUUGCAAGGAUCCCCAGGGCAGUUGGACCUGGAAGCUGAGUUCCCUGUCCUUCCCUGGUUGGUGAUCUUCAAGGUCCCAGUGCUGUGCAAGAGUCAGGUGUUCAGAGUUCAGAGCCCCAUCACCCAUCAGUGAUUAGGCGGCAUUGCCCCUCUCCCCCAUAUUUUCCCCACCCAAGUGUGAUGAUUCCAACACACCUGCUCCCAAAAGAAAGGCUGGUUUGUUUGUUCCAUUGGAAACAACCAGGCUUUGAUUAGGAGACAAGUGGCCUGAGGUAUGACAGUGGGAGGGCAAGGAGCUCUAAUUGUAUCCAUCUGUGGUGAGUGUGGUGGCUCUGAAGAAGUGACAUCCUCAUGGGGCAGUUUCUGUAUUCCUCUGACGGAUUUGGUGUAGCUGCAACACUGGACCAUGUCACCUCAUGUGCCUAACACCUUACAAGGAAGAAGGGAAAACAGCAUGUGUCUAAGAAGGCAGAGACUGGAAUGAUACAGCUGCAUGCUAAGAAGGCCAAGAAUUGCUGACCACCCACCUGAAGCUGGGGAAAAGCAAGAAAAGUCUCUACCCAGAGUCUCAGAAGAAGCACAGCCCCGCUGACACCUUGGUUUUGGAUAUCUAGACUCCAGAACUGUGAGAAAAUAAAUUUUGGUUGUUUUAAGCCCCAAGGUUUGUGGUAAUACAGGGACUUAAUACAGUACAUAGUCAGGUACUCCCUAGCUCUGAACAUCAAAAGAGUCUAGAAACAAUGACAUUCCAGUAGCAAUGAACAUAUCUAACACCCAGACUUACUUUGUAAACAUUAAGCCUAGAUGUAAAAUAUUCUCCACUAAAAGGAAUCCUUGUAGAAAUAAAAAAUUGCAAAGAUAGAGCAGGAGAAGUACAAGAUGAACCUGGAACUUUUUGUGGUGCAGAAAGUAGGGCAGUGCUUCAAAAUGAUGUGGACAGCUAAUAGGACACCAAAACCAGGUGGAAGGGGCUCCCACUGGCCAAAAUGGGGUCAAUUUAAGCCACAAAAACCAAAUCAUGAUAAUAACAGAUUACAAUGCUGAGUUAGAAUCUGCAAGUCUUUACUUAUAAUAAACAAAUAAAUAUAU